rnacentral:tRNA from 1 species
GGCUUGUAACUUAGUGGUUAAAGUGCUUGCCUCAUAUGUGUGAGGCGCUGGGUUCAAUCCUCAGCACCA